rnacentral:misc_RNA from 1 species
AACGCACAUUGCGCCCGCCAGCACUCUGGCGGGCAUGCCUGUUCGAGCGUCAUUUCAACCAUCAAGCCCCAGGCUUGCGUUGGAGCCCUGCGGCUGCCGCAGCCUCCCAAAAGCAGUGGCGGGCUCGCUAUCACACCGAGUGCAGUAGAUUACUCUUCGCUCAGGGCGUGUGGCGGGUUCCAGCCGUGAAACACCCUACUUCUCAAGGUUGACCUCGGAUCAGGUAGGAAUACCCGCUGAACUUAA